GCCCCGGUAGCUCAGCGGUCAGAAGAAUGUGACAACAGCAACGGCCUUGUAUAUAAAUAAAGACAGCCGUAGGUCGCGGGUUCGAAACCCGCCCGGGGCU
rnacentral:tRNA from 1 species